CCUACGGGGUGCAGCAGUAGGGAAUCUUCCACAAUGGGCGCAAGCCUGAUGGAGCAACGCCGCGUGUGUGAUGAAGGGUUUCGGCUCGUAAAACACUGUUAUAAGAGAAGAACGGCACUGAGAGUAACUGUUCAGUGUGUGACGGUAUCUUACCAGAAAGGAACGGCUAAAUACGUGCCAGCAGCCGCGGUAAUACGUAUGUUCCAAGCGUUAUCCGGAUUUAUUGGGCGUAAAGCGAGCGCAGACGGUUAUUUAAGUCUGAAGUGAAAGCCCUCAGCUCAACUGAGGAAUUGCUUUGGAAACUGGAUGACUUGAGUGCAGUAGAGGAAAGUGGAACUCCAUGUGUAGCGGUGAAAUGCGUAGAUAUAUGGAAGAACACCAGUGGCGAAGGCGGCUUACUGGUCUGCAACUGACGCUGAGGCGCGAAAGCGUGGGGAGCAAACAGGAUUAGAUACCCCUGUAGUC
rnacentral:rRNA from 1 species